GAAGACAGUGCCUGACCCAGUGUCCACUACUUCAAGAAAUGGGCAUAAGGUGGCAGCACUGGUAGUGCCUGCAGGUGUUGUGGAGAGAAACUUGGCCAAGGGCCAGCUGUACUUGAGCUGCUAAGUCCCAGGGAAAAGAUGGAAAAGGGGAACUCUGUUAAAGACCUCCUUAUUAGGGUAGUAAGUGAUGGAAGGAAAAAGGCUUCUCCUGGGGGAGCAGUGGCACCAGGAGCUCCACUAGGAGGAAUGCGUGAUGAGGUCACAUUGCCUGGCACCCAUACGUCUGUUAAAAGAAUAACUGCCACUUAUGAGGAAGGAUUAAGACGGACUGAUGAACAACAUGGAUGAAUCUUGAAAACAUGGUAUGGCAGGCAAGUUCUUCUAAUGCCUGGCCCUCAGGGAAGCCUACAGAGAGAGGCAAUUCGGAAAACCCUGUUUUGGAACAGAGCUGCUCCUCAAUAGCUCCCCAUGGAAGAGGAAUUCCUGCCACAAAUGACAAGACAUCACAGGCACACAGCUUGGACUAGAGUGAGGACUGCUGCUUCUUCCUUCUUGUGGUGCUCUGACCUGGGAGGCCCAUGAACUACAGUAUUAGGCAAGCACCCAGGCCACACCUUGCAGCAUGAAGGAUCUUAGCUCCCCGACCAGGGACCAA